UACGUAGGGGGCAAGCGUUGUCCGGAAUCAUUGGGCGUAAAGCUCGUGUAGGCGGCUUGGUAAGUCCGCUCUGAACGCCCGGGGCUCAACCCCGGGAGGCGGGUGGAUACUGUCAAGCUCGAGUCCGGAAGAGGCGAGUGGAAUUCCUGGUGUAGCGGUGAAAUGCGCAGAUAUCAGGAGGAACACCAAUGGCGAAGGCAGCUCGCUGGGACGUGACUGACGCUGAGACGCGAAAGCGUGGGGAGCAAACAGG
rnacentral:rRNA from 1 species